CACCGUCUUAUGCAUUCUGGACAAGUAAGUGCCAUAGUCGGUGUACUUCUCGAGUUCUUAACUUGAAUUUUCCACUUAGUGCUUGCUACAAUUGGAAGAAUUGGGAAUUGGGUAGUAACCAUACCAUAUUUUGGCACACAAUUCCGAAGAAAGGAAUUGGUGAAAGAUGGAUUUUGUGCUGGAUAGUUACUCCCGAGUUUAAGUGUUCUGGUUUCACUAAGUUCAGGCUUAAAGCUGAUAAUUGAUAGCAUGGUGAUAUUCAUGUAGCUAUUAAUAAUUAAAAUCUAUGACACACCCUAAUCAAAUUGAGCAUUGUAGAUUAUUGAUUAAAACAGAACUAUUUGUAUCAUUUUGGUGAACUGGGUAUCUUGUAUAUUGCUUUCUUCUCUUCUUUGUCGAGGCAUAUCCCAAGGAGAUUUACUUGAACUGGAAUCAAAACAGCACAAAGUAUAUUGCUUUCUUCUCUUCUUUGUCGAGGCAUAUCCCAAGGAGAUUUACUUGAACUGGAAUCAAAACAGCACAAA
rnacentral:misc_RNA from 1 species